GAGCGUUGGCUACGCCAAUCGUGUGACAACGCUCCAUGUCCUGCCUCAGGUUUCGGGCGUCAUGACGCCAGAGCUCAUUAACCAGUACAUCGUGCCCCUUCUGAUCAAGGCUACGAAGGACAGCGUCCCCAACGUCCGCUUUUGCGCUUGCCGUACAAUCAUGUGGAUGAUGGAGCAUCACAACCUUGGUUCCCAGACCAUUGGUUCUGUGAUCAAGCCUUGCCUGCUGGA
rnacentral:snRNA from 1 species